rnacentral:rRNA from 1 species
GCAUACUCAUUUUGACCGUUUAGCUGCAGAAGAAGCACCGGCUAACUCCGUGCCAGCAGCCGCGGUAAUACGGAGGGUGCGAGCGUUAAUCGGAAUUACUGGGCGUAAAGCGCAUGCAGGUGGUUUUGUUAAGUCAGAUGUGAAAGCCCGGGGCUCAACCUCGGAAUUGCAUUUGAAACUGGCAAACUAGAGUACUGUAGAGGGGGGUAGAAUUUCAGGUGUAGCGGUGAAAAUGCGUAGAGAUCUGAAGGAAUACCGGUGGCGAAGGCGGCCCCCCUGGACAGAUACUGACACUCAGAUGCGAAAAGCGUGGGGAGCAAAACAGGAUUAGAUACCCCUGGUAG